rnacentral:tRNA from 1 species
AGUAGUGUAGGCUAAUUAAGCGUUCGGGUCCAUACCCCGAAACAUGAUGGUUGAAAUCCACCCCUACUG